UCUUCCCUUCCCUUAGCAACUCAAUUAUGUAUUAUUCCCUCCCCCUCUGCUUUUGAGUAAUCGUAGGCCCAAAGCUUUUGCUGCUACCUUGUUCUCGUGUAUAGUAGGAAUGCCAAUAGGUUUACAAGUAUAUUGAGCUCUGAGUUAGCUCUUCUUUUGUGUAUCAGCCGACGAAACGACAUCUAGUUGUGCGAAGAUCUUAGUUGUGAUAACUAUUGCAAUCGUCAGUCACCCUGAUGAGAAUGGCAGCCAUGCAGUGUGCGCCGUUUGUAGAUCUCGAUGUGGUCUCCGCACUGCUGCGCCUACUGGGCUUCGGGGGCAUUGCCCGCUGUUUGUCAAUCAAUAAUGGCGUUGUUUUGUUUUGUGGUGGUAUUUUUCUUAUUCUUCUCUUUCGGGGGUGCAUGUAAUCAGUUGCUUCUCAGCAAGGUCACAUGGCAUGAAUAGUUGCCUCACACUGAACGGAGGAGAGGAGGGGCCCUGAGCUGUUAUGUUUGUGCAUAUGGCAGCUCGAAAAUCUUGGACGGAGAUACGCAGCAGUGUGGCCGGUGGGGGUGCGUGCGACUAUUCAAGGGUCUUCUUGUACUACUCCCUGUGGACCAACCAAUAGUAUGCUGAAAAAAGAGAUCUACAAUUCUGCUAUUUCUAUAAGAACACAAACUCGCAUUUGAGAUGACUUAAACCUGGGAGGCUGGGUUGUAUAUGCAGGACGCAGCUUCUGGCUUCGUGAUGCCAAGUCUCGCCGUAACUUAGCCUUCCUCUAUCAGCCAUCCAUUAAAUAUCCGACGUACCAGAUUGAUUUUCCAAAGUGAAAUUUUUUAAGCAUUCAGAUCUUUUUGAAAAAACCCAAUAAAUCAUAAAUGUUUCAUUUAUAUUGAGGUAAUAUCACCGAAAGUCACAUAAUUUGCGUUCGACGUUCAGUUUGGUGCUAAAACUUUAAAAAUACAGAUUUAUGGUCAUUUAACUUGCGUUCUCGUACAAAUACAGUCACUUCUCUGAUAUUCAGAGGUAUCCUGCGCUUAUGUGACACGACAACGUGGCUAUGCCCCCUUUCAGUGAUUAGAGCUACUCUAUGCGGCGUGCACAAUUUUGUUUUGCAUAAUCACCCUUUGUAUUUAAUUAAACAGAAGCCCAUCAAUAACACAUGUGGGCCCACACAUAUUUUUGCAUAAUCACCUCUCGCUCUGUAUUUAAUUAAGCAGAAGCCCCCCAAUAGCACGUAUGGGUCCUACCAGCACGGACGGUGGGAGAAAUGAGAAUAAAAAGAGGGUGUUGGGGGUUUCAAACUCCCGACCUCAUAUAGAGUGCACACACUAGCCAACAACUACACCGACUACAUACUCAUGACUAUUCGAACUCCCGACCUCAUAUACAAUGUACAUACUUCUUUUUCUAGACUCCUUUUUUCUCCGGUUUCCAGAAAAUAUUGCCUUUUUGGGCCCAAAAAAAGGCGUCAAAACAUAUAAUGCUUUUAGGGGAAAAUAUAUAAUGUUUAAUCCAUUACGUACAAAACUUUUCUGCAAGCGAGAUGUUUUUAUUCCUUUUUUCCGGAAGGGGCUGGAAAAUCCGGGUUUCAAAAUAUCUCAAUAAUUCUAAUUUUUCGCCUAAAAUUUUGAAAUGAAUUUUGAUUUCAUUUUUUAACAUCUAAAAAUAUUUAGUUUGACAAUUUUUUUUAAAUAAGUUAACAUAACUUCGUCCGAGAGAGAAAAACAGAAAUAUGAGUAGUUGUCAUCGCAAAAUUAUCAAAUUAAGUGUUCCUCUUUGUGGGUAGUAACAUGUACUUGGUGUUGUGGUUGGCUCGUGCACUAACACGCUCGAAGUCAAGAGAUCAAUUCCGUUCAUUCCCCUAUUUUUCUGCAAAAUUAUCCAUGCGGCCGAACUUCAAUCUAACACACGGACUGAUGGGCCCUGCGUAAAUUAGUCUAAUUACCUGUUUAGCCUAACCCGUUGUUAGUAUCCCACUGACUAGCGACCCCACCCCUAAAUUACCCAUUAAACAUAUGGGCCUAUGAAAGGAUCGAUAUAGUUGACUAGAGGGGGGGGGGGGCUGAAUAGGCAACUAACAAUUUUUAUCUUUUCUUUACCAAAUUAAACUUUGCAUCAAAGUAGGUUGUCUAGAUAUGCAAUUAGGUGAGCAACCUAUAUGAUGCAACAACAACAAGCACACAAGCAAGCAAGGGAUACAACACAAUAUAAGCUUGCACAAGUAAAGGUGAGAGAUAACCAAGUGUGGAGCCGGUGGAGACGAGGGUGUGUUACCGAAGUUCCUUCCCUUUGAGAGGAAUUACGUCUUCAUUGGAGCGGUGUGGAGGCACAAUGCUCCCCAAGAAGCCACUAGGGCCACUGUAUUCUCCUCACGCCCUCACACAAUGCGAGAUGUCGUGAUUCCACUAUUGGUGCCCUUGGAGGCGGCGACCGAACCUUUACAAAAAAGGUUGGGGCAAUCUCCACAACUUAAUUGGAGGCUCCCAACGACACCACGAAGCUUCACCACAGUGGAAUAUGGCUCCGCGGUGACCUCAAUCGUCUAGGGUGCUCAAACACCCAAGAGUAACAAGAUCCGCAAGGGAUUAGUGGGGGGAAUCAAUUUUCUCUUGGUGGAAGUGUAGAUCGGGGCCUUCUCAACCAAUCCCUAGAAAAUCAACAAGUUUGAUUGGCUAGGGAGAGAGAUCGGGUGAAAAUGGAGCUUUGAGCAACAAUGGAGCUUGGGGAAGGAAGAGGUAGUCAACUUGGGGAAGAAGACUGUGACGCCCCCGAUUCAAUCGUACACUAAUCAUACACGCAAACGUGUACGAUCAAGAUCAGGAACUCACGGGAAGAUAUCACAACACAACUCUAAAAAUAAAAUAAGUCAUACAAGCAUCAUAUUAUAAGCCGGGGGCUCGAGGGCUCGAAUACAAGAGCUCGAUCAUAGACGAGUCAGCGAAAACAACAAUAUCUGAGUACAGACAUAAGUUAAACAAGUUGCCAUAAGAUGGCUAGCACAAACUAGGAUACAGAUCGAAAGAGGCGCAGGCCUCCUGCCUGGGAUCCUCCUAAACUACUCCUGGUCGUCGUCGGCAGCCUGCACGUAGUAGUAGGCACCUCCGGUGUAGUAGGAGUCGUCGUCGACGGUGGCGUCUGGCUCCUGGGCUCCAGCAUCUGGUUGCGACAACCGAGAGGAAAGGAAAGGGGGAAAAGAGGGAGCAAAGCAACUGUGAGCACUCAUCCAAAGUACUCGCAAGCAAGGAUCUAUACUACAUAUGCAUGGGUAUUAGUGUAAAGGGGCAAUAUCGGUGGACUGAACUGCAGAAUGCCAUAAUAAGAGGGGAAUAGCUAGUCCUGUCGAAGACUACGCUUCUGGCAGCCUCUAUCUUGCAGCAUGUAGAAGAGAGUAGAUGGUAAGUUCACCAAGUAUCAUCGCAUAGCAUAAUCCUACCCGGCGAUCCUCUCCUCGUCGCCCUGUGAGAGAGUUAUCACCGGGUUGUAUCUCGCACUUGAAAGGGUGUGUUUUAUUAAGUAUCUGGUUCUAGUUGUCAUAAGGUCAAGGUACAACUCUGGGUCGUCCUUUUACCGAGGGACAUGGCUAUUCGAAUAGAUAAACUUCCCUGCAGGGGUGCACCACAUAACCCAACACGCUUGAUCCCUCUGGUCGGACACACUUUUCUGGGUCAUGCCCGGCCUCGGUACAUCAACACGUCGCAGCCCUACCUAGGCACAACAGAGAGGCCAGCACGCCGGUCUAAAUCCUAUGCGCGCAGGGGUCUGGGCCCAUCGCCCAUUGCACACCUGCACGUUGCGUGGGCGGCCGGUGAGCAGACCUAGCAACCUCCAUUAAAAAGGAAGUUGCGUUACGCGGUCUAACCCGGCGCGCGCUGCUCAGUCGCUGACGUCAAGAAUGCUUCGGCUGAUACCACGACGUCGAGUGCCCAUAACUGUUCCUGCUUAGUUGGUUAGUGCGUAGAGGCCAGUGGCCAGACUCAGAUCAAAUACCAAGAUCUCCUUAAGCGUGUUAAUUGACGUAACCGCGGACGCCGACCAGGGCCAGGCCCACCUCUCACCUAGAUGGUCUCAACCUGCCCUGUCGCUCCGCCACAAAGUAAUAGUCGGGGGCCGUUGGGAACCCAGGGCCACCACUACCGGGUGGAACCACCUGUCCUUUCAGCCCCCACAUCGGAAUCACUUGCGGGUACUCUACGAGCCGACCCGACUUUAGUCACCACAUGUAUCACAUAAUAUCUAUGUAAGUAUAUACCCAGGAUCAGCUCCCGAGUGAUCACGGCCCGGUAGUAUAGCAUGGAAAACGGACAAGAAUGUAGGGCCACUGAUGAUAAUCUAGCAUCCUAUACUAAGCAUUUAGGAUUGCAGGUAAGGGUAACAAUUGUAGCAACAAUGAUAGGCUAUGCAGCAGAAUAGGAUUAACCGAAAGCAGUAACAUGCUACACUACUCUAAUGCAAGAAGUAGAGAGAAGGAAUAGGCGAUAUCUGGUGAUCAGGGGGGAGCUUGCCUGGUUCCUCUGGCAAGAAGGAAGGGUCGUCAACACCGUAGUCGUACUGGGUAGCAGUGGCGUCGGUCUCGAGGUCUAGCGAGAGAAGAGGGGGAAGAAACAAUAAAUAUAAUGCAAACAUUUGCAUGACGAUGCAUGACAUGACAAUGAGCGAUGUUAGGUGUGCCCUAACACGGCAGUAGGUGAUACCGGCGAAGGGGGAAACAUCUGGGAAAGUAUUCCCGGUGUUUCGCGUUUUUGACAACUGAACCAGAGGGAAAAAGUUGCAUGUUUUCUAUGCUAGGGGCGCGCGGCGGACGAACGGGCUGCGUAUUCGGAUUUGUCUCGUCGUUCUGAGCAACUUUCAUGUACAAAGUUUUUCCAUCCGAGUUACUGAUUAUUUUAUAUUAAUUUUUAAAGAUUUAAUCAUUUUUAAAUUGUUAUUGUUAAAUUAAUUCGAAAAAUAGCAUUAUUGCAUCAGCAUGACAUCAGCAGUCAACAGAGGUGUUGACUGGGUGAAACUGACAUGUGGGGUCCGCAUGUCAUUGUCUAAGGCUAACUAAACAUGUUUAAUUAGUUUAUUUAAUUGAUUAGAUUAAUUAAACACAAUUAAUUAAGUUAAUUAAUUAAUUAAUAUUUGUAUUCAUUAUUAUUUUUAAUUCUUUUUUCGAUAUCUUUUUUAACGUUCUGGGGGUGGGGCCCCUUUGUCAUAGGCCCUUGGGGCGGGCCCAGCUAUCAAAGGUCCCUGAGACCUUAACGGGCGUUGGGUCGCAGCGGGGGACGGAUGCGGGGGACGGGUCGCCUGGACACGGGCGCGCGGUUUUGCUGGCGGCCAUGGCGGGGCACGACGCCUGCCAUGGAAGGGAACGGGCCGCAGCGGAUGCGUCGGCCAGGGCGGUAGUUGGGGCGGCCGGAGGCGGGAGCAUGCGGGCGGAGGCGGGAUGCAGGGGGCCGGCAAGAGCGGCGGCAGUGGGCGCGAGGUGAGCACGGCCACGGCGCCGGCGGCCUCGGAGGCGCGGGGGAAAACGGGGACAUGCCAGUGCGGCGACGACCGAAGCAAGCCACAGAAGAGGCGGGCAGAGGGGGGUGCCAUAGAGCAGCGGUUGUGGCAGUAGCGCAGCAGCAGCAGCAGAGCAGGAGGCGGGGCGGCGCGGCCGCAGCGGAGCGGGAGCCGCAGCGGGGCAAACNNNNNNNNNNNNNNNNNNNNNNNNNNNNNNNNNNNNNNNNNNNNNNNNNNNNNNNNNNNNNNNNNNNNNNNNNNNNNNNNNNNNNNNNNNNNNNNNNNNNNNNNNNNNNNNNNNNNNNNNNNNNNNNNNNNNNNNNNNNNNNNNNNNNNNNNNNNNNNNNNNNNNNNNNNNNNNNNNNNNNNNNNNNNNNNNNNNNNNNNNNNNNNNNNNNNNNNNNNNNNNNNNNNNNNNNNNNNNNNNNNNNNNNNNNNNNNNNNNNNNNNNNNNNNNNNNNNNNNNNNNNNNNNNNNNNNNNNNNNNNNNNNNNNNNNNNNNNNNNNNNNNNNNNNNNNNNNNNNNNNNNNNNNNNNNNNNNNNNNNNNNNNNNNNNNNNNNNNNNNNNNNNNNNNNNNNNNNNNNNNNNNNNNNNNNNNNNNNNNNNNNNNNNNNNNNNNNNNNNNNNNNNNNNNNNNNNNNNNNNNNNNNNNNNNNNNNNNNNNNNNNNNNNNNNNNNNNNNNNNNNNNNNNNNNNNNNNNNNNNNNNNNNNNNNNNNNNNNNNNNNNNNNNNNNNNNNNNNNNNNNNNNNNNGGCGGCGGCGUCGGCACGGUUCGGUUGCCCUUCCCAAUCCAGAUUUGGAUCGGGGAAGGAGGAGAGAGCGACAUGAGGAAAGGGAGAAGUGGGAGCGGUCGUGGGUUAGGGUUUGAUCGGGGUGGGGGGUUAUGGAGGAGUGAGGGGGCGGCUUGGGCCGGUUUGGGCCGGCCCGGCUAGCAGCUGGGCCGACUGGCCCAGUAGGGGGUUCCUUUUUUUUUUCUGUUUUCGUUUAGUCCUUUUUUAUUUCCUUUUCUGUUUUAAUUCAUUUUAAAGUAUUUAGGCAUUCUGUAAAGGUGUGGUUUCUUCACCAUAAAUACCUAGGCAUUAAUUGGCACACUCCGAACAUUUUAGUUUAUUGUUUGAAAUUUUUUGAUGUUUGACAAAAAUUCAAAUUCGAAUUUGAAUCGUUUUGAAUUAACGCGAGAUUAGCGACAGUAACGGAGGUGAAAUGGCAUCAUUAGCGGAGGUUCACUCUAGAUUAAUUAUCCGGGCGUCACAAUUCUCCUCCACUACAAGAAAUCUCGUCCCGAGAUUUAAGAGGUAGAGUAAGGGGGGAAAGUCUGGUUACGAAAUUCUAACGGAUCUUCUCGGUCUUGGCUGCUCUUCUUGAAGAAGUUAAUCCCUUUCGUUGAUGUCUUCAAUUCUCUAUUUCAGGUCAUCAUGAUGAAGUCGACAUCUCUUUUUUUGGGAACUCCAUCGUACUUACGAAAGAAUAAAGGGUGGGUAUUCCGGGAGAACGGACCUCUACAAGGUUGACUAUCUGGUCGAUAACAUCGGGGAAGGUGGAGGAAAGUAACUCUCGAAUUGAAACUUAAGAAAAUAUCAAGAGUAAAGUAAGGAGGUAUCAUGGGAAGUUUCGAGCGGGCAGGCAAUCGUUCGUUGCCUGAAACAGGGCAUGAAAGGGGUUCCAAGCAACGGGAGUAAGUAUUGUGUCUGAUACCAGAAUUGAUGAUCUCUCAGACAGUGGCUCGUGAAUUACAUACGAGGCCGCACGCGAGGAAUAACUUCGGGAACAGGGGGUGUACAGGAGAGUCAGGUUUCGAUCCUGUGGAGCUGUGGGUUAUGGGCCCACCAUGCGGGUUAAAAGCAAGGAGGGCGUUGUCAUCUUGCACAAUCAUGAGAGCAAGGCAUGUCAGAGAAGAGACUAUCAGUUAUGUCGGCAACAAUAUCGGUACCAAGGGUGAGGGAUGAAGAGAACCAAUUUCCUACUCGUUGAACGAGGUGGACCAAUAGGCAAAGUUCUCGUCCAUCGGUGGUUACCGGAUUGUCAUCAACACUAGUAACAGGGUCUUACUGACAGAUUUGUACACCGAGGUGUUUGCAUAAGCAGAAAAUAUUACUGCUUAGAUCAUAUAGAUCACAAUAAAAGUUAAACAAGACAAUGGAAAGGAAAUUUGAUUAUUAGAUUAAACAUAACAAUGGAAAGGUAAAUGUGUUUAAACACAUAUUUCGGGGGUAUAUCCUUCCCAAGGACAAGCAGAGCAUGAUAUCCACGACAGGAUAUAAAGUAGAAAACCCUUUAGGUAAGGGGAGAGAAAUUUCAUGACAUUGCCCAUACAAUGGUGGUUGGAUAAUUGAUAAAGAAAUUUUAGCAUUGUGCUUCGAAUGUUCUUAUUUGAAGAUCAGAGUACCACAAACAUGCUUCGAGAUAGCAUUGACAUGGUUUUCAAGUAAAGGUCGGACUCUGGAUCCACAAAGGACUUAUUAGGAACAACUUAUAGAAUAAGUCUUACAAUUUCCUCAUGGAAGAAUGGUUAACCUUGCUAAAGAGGAAACUAUAACAAUAGGUCCUCUGGUCAGGUGUGCUAGGCAUGACAUCACCUUAAUGGGCCAUAUAACGAAAAAAUAUUAUAACUCUUGGAAAUAUGUUCCAACCAUCAUAUCUGACCAAGAUUCAAAUCUGAUUGGUGUCAGGAUACCUCAGACUCAGGAGGCCUGAGAAGGAAAGGUGCAACACAAAUUGUCGAGAUGUCAUUGUAAGAUUCUCGGGGAAUGAACUAUGGAAGCGAGUUCCGAAACAAGAGUUCAUCAUUAAACCAAGGAGAGAGUGAGGAGUUGGCUGAUAGACUUAGCGACAAUUCAUCAAGAAUUCCAACAAGAUGGAUUUCCACAAUUAUGUGAACAAGGAGAUAACAUUGGUUAGAUCAAAAGAUGUAAUGAUGUAUGCUCGAGGAGAACAUCCACGAGUAAACAUUGGUUGAAAGGUGCACCCAAAAUAUGGGCUUAGGUAGCAUGAUCAAUGUUAGAAUGGUGAUUCGAUAACCAAAAGACUUAGAAUGAAUCUAUCGACCAUUCACUUCAAAGCAAUAGAGUUGCUAGAAGUUUUGAAUUCACGCAUCAUAGUUCAGUUCUCGGUAUUCCGGUUAGAAACAACACGGGGACCAAUAAUGAAUGAAGAUGGCAAGAAGUAUCACUUGUAUUAAGAAUUCUUAUUAGGUGAUGAAAUUCUCGCUACAUUCUUGACAUAAAAGAUGGCAAUACUGAAAGGUAAAGAAGAACAAAUGCUGGAUAGCAUGGAACUCAAGGUAUAACACAAAACACGAGCAAGUUUGUGUUGAGCGGAAGGCAAUAAAAUGGCCAAUGAUAACACAAAUCAUCGAGGGCAAGGAUGGUAUUUCUCAUCAUGAAUUCAAUCGAUAUACUGGAAGAGCUCAGAAUGCUGAUGAUGAUCAUGACACAUUUGCCGAGAGAUUUCAUGAUGAUGUAAUCGAUCGGUGAUGACAUCAAGUCAAAGGAAUGAUGAAGCAAAAGGUUAUUGGAACCAAGGGUACAACCCAAACUCGAAAUUGAUCUUGCUGUUCAAGGUUAAAUGAUUAGACGAGGAAGAUUGGCAUAAGGUUAUCUCAUCGUCGAAAAUUGUGCUCCGAGAAGAAGGACCAGGUAGCACAGUUAAAAUUUAGCACAAAAUGAUAUAGCCGAUCAGGCUAGGAAUGACGUGAUGUAGUAUUAAACUUCUCAACCACAAAGUACCAGGAGUACUGAAUCACAUGGGUGAUUCGAUUCACUAAUCGGUGUUCUCGGUUGACGACAACCCAGAACCCAUGGAGUGACUAUGACGGGGAAAGGCACUACUUCAUCAGAAAUGCAUAAGAUGCAGUGCAAUCGGUUGAUAUCCUCGAGGUACCAGGAGGUAAUACUCGAAGGUAGAUCAAAAUAGAGGUUGAGCAGGUAUAUUGAUCUGCAGAAGGCAAGUACUUUAACCUGCCCUAGAAAUAGAAUCAAAGGAGAAUCAAUCAUGGUCGGAACAACGGCUGCAAAGGACCAAACAUAGAUACAAGAUGGACUUAUAACAAGGGGAAUAUUAUUAUCACAAGAAGCUUCCAUGAUAAGAUCCACAUCGUGUCCAUGGGCAUGAACACAAAGUUCAAGGUCGACUCCCACUUCCCCAAUGCAUAACCGUUCAUUCACUUCUCACUUUCAAUGAAGUUGUAGUGUUGAAAUAUUAUCUGGCAAAUCACCAGAAGAGUAUGACUCGUGAAAACUCUCGGGUGCAUACGGUUAGGGAAGGUAUAGGUUCAACCCAUAGGGGCAUCUUAGGAACAUAUACCACAAACUUCAGGAGCAAAUAACUCCAGCUCGGAAGUAGAGCAUGGUUGACAAAGCAGAAGAUACAGAUCGUCAAAGAUAUUAUGUAUCAUGGGAUGUGAAGGAUACUAACGGAUAAUAACCCAACAAUGGGCCUGGCGGUGGACAACGGAGUUGAUAUGAGUAUCGGUACUCAAUAAGAGGAGGAAAGAAUGCAAAUGCAUCGGAUUAUAGAACAUCUGAAUAAUUCGAUGCUUUGAUAACAAAGGAAUUAUGAAUUCCAAAAUGAAGGAUCAGAAGCAGACGCUCUGAUCAAAGAUGGAUAGUAGAAUAGACAUAGGGGCAUACAAUCGACGGCAAAUUGAUUGGUCAAGAACCAUCUCAUGUCCGGAGUGACGUCUGAGCUGAAGGGAAGAAUUCUAAUUGCUUGAUGGUUGCGAGCAUUCGCAAACAUAUCAAAUUAGUGUACUCAAAAUAAUAGUGACAAAGGGUGCCAAUAAGAUUACUAGACUUAUGGGAUUAACCAUAAUGCAAGCAAGCAAGGAUUUCAAGAAUAAAAGGCUGUUGAGGAUUUUCGAAAGAUCGAAUAGUAUUUCGUAGACUUUUGUGAGACACGUGAACAAAUGGGGAGAAACAAACCCUCGGUAUGUGUGAGGAUUAAUUUGUUGGUGUAUUCGGGUGACAAGGAACUGCAAGGCAGUAGGCACAAAGGAUCCUCGGAAUAGCGGGAAGUAGUUCAGGGUAUCUUGUACUAAAAAGAGUAAUUGGGAAUGAAGGUAUAGACGGCAAGUGGAAGUAGCUAUUGAAAGAUCGUGGAUGUUGCCUAGAGGGGGGGGGGGGUGAAUAGGCAAUUUGAAAUAAUUAUGGUUUAGGCUUGAACAAAUGCGGAAUAAACCUAGCGGUUAAUUUGUCAAGCACAAAACCUACAACAACUCUGCUCACCUAUGUGCACCAACAACUUAUACUAAGCAAGAUAAACAACUAUGUGAUAGCAAGAUAUAUGACAAGAAACAAUAUAGCUAUCAGAAAGUAAAGUGCAUAAGUAAAUGGCUCGGGUAAGAGAUAACUGAGGCACACGGAGACGACGAUGUAUCCCGAAGUUCACACCCUUGCGGAUGCUAAUCUCUGUUUGGAGCGGUGUGGAGGCACAAUGCUCCCCAAGAAGCCACUAGGGCCACCGUAAUCUCCUCACGCCCUCGCACAAUGCAAGAUGCUGUGAUUCCACUAAGGGACCCUUGAGGGCGAUCACCGAACCCGUACAAAUGGCAACCCUUGGGGGCGGUCACCGAACCCGUACACUUUGGCAACCCUUGGGGGGCGGUCACCGGUACCCGUCAAAUUGCUCGAGGCGGUCUCCACAACCUAAUUGGAGACCUCGACGUUUGCCCGGAGCUUUACACCACAAUGAUUGAGCUCCGAACACCACCACUAUCUAGGGCGCCCGAGCACCCAAGAGGAACAAGCUCAAGGGUACCAAGCACCCAAGAGUAAUAAGCUUCUCAACUUGUAACUUCCACGUAUCACCGUGGAGAACUCAAACCGAUGCACCAAAUGCAAUGGCAAGGGCACGCGGAGUGCCCAAGUCCUUCUCUCCCAAAUCCCACCAAAGCAACUAAUGUUAGGGAGGAAAAUAAGAGGAAGAACAAGAAGGAGAACACCAAGAACUCCAAGAUCUACAUCCAAGGGGUUCCCCUCACAUAGAGGAGAAAGUGAUUGGUGGAAAUGUGGAUCUAGAUCUCCUCUCCCCCCCAAAACUAGCAAGAAUCCAUGGAGGGAUUGAGAGAUAGAAAGCUCGAAGAAGGUCAACAAUGGGGGAAGAACACGAGCUUAAAGGAUAAGGCUCAAUGGGGAAGAAGACCCCCUUUGAUAGGACCUCCCGAAUCCAACCGUUAUGUGCUCACGUCGUGCACAAGCGGUACUACCGCUUGGAGGAGCGGUACUACCGCUUAACACGGUCAAAACAGCCAACGAGAGAGAAAAACACGAGCUGUAGUUCUGCCAGAGAGGUAGUACCACUUACCACUUAUAAGAGGUACUACCGCUCAGGAGGAGAGGUAGUACCGCUUACCACUUAUAAGAGGUACUACCGCUCGGGUGGAGAGGUAAUACCGCUUACCGCUUAUAGGAGGUACUACCGCUCUACUACCGCGAAACCCGACAUGAAAAGACGCAUCCCCAGAAGCAGCGGUAGUACGCGCGGCACAGGGCUGCGGUACUGCCGCUUACAAGCGGUACUACCGCUCUAGAGAGCAGUACUACCGCUUGAGGCUUUCAGGAACACAAGAGAGAAAACAGAGGAUGCAAUAAAGCCUAAACUGCCACAACUUCUGCAUAUGAGCUCCGAAUUGAGCAAACUCAAGCUUGUUGGAUAGAUGAUGACGAGUAGCAUCCAAUAACUACUGAUUAUAGUAAGAAGUGGCAGGGGAGGUAUGCCUAAUUAAAUAGAAGAGUGAAACCUCCAACAGAGAAGAAUCGACAUAACCUCCAACAUCGAAAACAUCAUAGAAGAUGCAUGGGAACUCCGUUUUUUAUGAACUCGAGCUUGUCAUGAAAAUGACCAUAAGCUCCAAAUCUCACAAGGAGAAGAACCAAACAAGAACCAAUAAAGAUGAUGCAAGGAUGCAAUGGUUUGAGCUCUCUACGAACGAUACGAUCAAACUACUCAUCGAGAGCCCCCCUUGAUAGUACAACAAUCGAACCUAUAACCCGGUCUCCCAACUACCACCAUGAGACCGGUAAAAUAGAAAACCUAUCAAGGGCAAACCUUUGCCUUGCACAAGGUCCACUUGAGCUAGAUGAUGACGAACUUGACUCCCUCAAGAUGGACCACUUUUCUUGAUUGUGUUGGCUCGAUGAAGACUAGUUGAUUGCGCCCCCAUACUCAACUAUGGGUAAGCCACUCUUCCACACAUCUUCACAAGUCCAUUUUCACCACAAUGGACGGCAAGCUUCAAGCAUUUGAUAUCUUCAUGUUGCUCCGCUUGAACUUGCACACCGCAACCUAACCCCACAAAGAACUCUCACGAAUACCAUGGGUUAGUGCACAAAGCGUAAUGGACAAUGCUUACCAUACCAUGGGAUCACUUGAUCCCUCGGUACAUCUAGUACGCUUUGUGUGUUGAUCAACUUGAUUCACUCUUGACUUAGUCUUGAUCAACCUUGAUUCUUUCCAACUCUCUUCAUUUGGAUGAUGUCUAGAAGGUAAACAUGGAUGAUCACACAAUCUUCUUCUUCAAGACAUGCUUGCAAUAAGCUCAACUCUCACAUGACCAAUCUUUGGAUAAUUCCUUAAUAGAACCUUGGUCACCACAUAAACUCCUUGAAACCAACACAUGGACUUCAAGAAAUGCCUAUGGACAAAUCCUUCAAAUAUAACUCAAGGCAACCAUUAGUCCAUAGAGAUUGUCAUUAAUUACCAAAACCAAACAUGGGGGCACCGCAUGUUCUUUCAAUCUCCCCAUUUUGGUAAUUGAUGACAAUCACUUUCAAGAGAGUUUAUAUAAGGAAUUAUGCAUCACCAUGCAAUGCAACAACCAAUAAUGCAUGCAUAUGAGAUGCAAAGCUAAGGAGACAAAAACCAAAGCAAGAAUAAAUAAGUAUCUUAACUUCUCCACAAAACUCUCUUCUGAAACUUCUCCCCCAUUGGCAUCGAUUGCCAAAAUGGGCGAAAAGCUUAGAAGGCCAAUAUAAAUUGUGGUCCUCCAUAAAUUGUGUAUUUCUCAACAAGAGAGUGGAAUGCAAUACACAUAUCCAAAGAUAAAUACUUGGAGGAAGACAAACUAUAUUGAUGCCCAAAGAUUGCAAAAGAAAGAAACAAGCAAUCAAACAAUCAAAAGAUACCAAUUGAAGCAAGCUAUCAAAAGAUACCAAAUUAACCAACUAGACCAAUGAUCCUACAUGCCACAUGAAUAAAGGAUAUUACGAUAUGAGCAAAGGAGUGUUCUAAAGAAACUAGAGAAGCUCCCCAUGAUUUGUGCACACAUAAGAAUUUUUGUAUUUGGAUACACCGUACACAAAAUAGGAUCAUAGCGCCCCCAAAAUCAAUAGAAACUCACAACAAGUGCAAGUGAGCAUAUAGGAAUCAAAGCCUAGCAGUGGCAAUAAACAAAUGGUUGAGCAACAUGUAAAAGAGGCAACUUAAGAAUAGGCUCAACCAAAAUGAUGUGUGCGAGUCAUGACAAAGCACUUGAGAAGACUAAUAAGGAUGCGCAUAAAGCAUCAACAUAGUCUUGGAUAAAUGACAUACACGGUGCAUGACAUGUCCUCCCCCCACACACCCAACAAGCAAAUGGGUUCACAAGCUCACUAAAAUGUGAAUUAACAACAAGGCUUGCGACAACCCAUGGUGAAGAUAGAAAGUGAAAGCCUUAUCAAGACGACGGAUACCAAUUAAGAUGGCAAAAAGCCUCGUCAAGACAAGCAUGAUGAAAAAGAUCUUCACCACACAAGAGUGCAACAAUUGCAAAGAUAUAAUAUCCGCACUCAAGACAAAUCCUUUCACGGAACCACCAAAGUAAAGGUGGAUGUGAAAGAAUAAGGAUAUCACCUAGAGAUGUAACUUCUCUGAAGUGUACAAGAUUCUAGGUAGAUGAAAAUCAUGAUGAUAUCAAUCCACAAAGAAGGAUGUACACACAAAAUGGUUACACAAGGAAAUAACAAGAUAUCCCCAAGGAAGUCAUAAAUAUACCAAUAAUAUAUUUGCUUGAAAGCAUAGCACAUGGCUAGAUAUGGUCUUAUUGUAUAUAAAUGAAGUCCAAUCACACGAACAUCAAAGACAUCACAACUAGCAACAAGAGAUCAUUGUUGGUAUGCUUUGAGAAAGGGAACAAGUAUCACAAGAAGGAAUGAAUUACAUGCCAUGAUACAACCUACACAAGGUUGAUGCAAGAAAUGUAUGCAUGACGUAGAUGAUGAUACUUGUUACCGAGAUAACAUUGGAAUGAUGUAGUAGAUACCAAUUGAAUGUAGUAGAUAAUAGUUCAUUAAUCAUCCUAGCUUGACUCCAAUAAGCACAUGGUGACACCACCUUCCUUGUGAGUGAGUCGAACCUCCAAUGCAUCUCCAAUUGUUCCUAGAACAACACCACAACCAAAAUGGUACCCAAACUCAUUGGGACCAAAGAGUUAGAAACACCAAUACAUAGGACAAACUCCACAUAAAUAUGUGCACAUAGAUAUGAAAAUAAAUAUCAUGCACAUCUCAUCCAAUUUGAGACUUGGUGGAGUUUCCCCUAUAUAUUGGGUCAAAGAAAGAAAGCAUGCCAAAGAAACUACAUGAAGUUAAUAUGCAUGCUCAAGACUUUCAAGAAACGAUACCAAAUGAAAAAGAAAUACAGAUCGAAAGAGGCGCAGGCAUCCUGCCUGGGAUCCUCCUAAACUACUCCUGGUCGUUGUCAGCAGCCUGCACGUAGUAGUAGGUACCUCAGGCAUAGUAGGAGUCGUCGUCGACGGUGGCGUCUGGCUCCUGGGCUCCAGCAUGUGGUUGCGACAACCGAGAGAAAGGAAAGCGGGAAAAGAGGGAGCAAAGAAACCGUGAGUACUCAUCCAAAGUACUCGCAAGCAAGGAUCUACACUAAAUAUGUAUGGGUAUCAGUGUAAAGGGGCAAUAUCGGUGGACUGAACUGCGGAAUGCCAGAAUAAGAGGGGGAUAGCUAGUCCUGUCGAAGACUACACUUCUGGUAGCCUCCAUCUUGCAGCAUGUAGAAGAGAGUAGAUGGUAAGUUCACCAAGUAUCAUCGCAUAACAUAAUCCUACCCGGCGAUCCUCUCCUCAUCGCCCUGUGAGAGAGUGAUCACUGGGUUGUAUCUAGCACUUGAAAGGGUGUUUUUAUUAUCCGGUUCUAGUUGUCAUAAGGUCAAGGUACAACUCCGGGUCGUCCUUUCACCGAGGGACACGGCUAUUCGAAUAGAUAAACUUCCUUGCAGGGGUGCACCACAUAACCCAACACGCUCGAUCCCUCUGGCCGGACACACUUUCCUGGGUCAUGCCCGGCCUCGGUAGAUCAACACGUCGCAGCCCUACCUAGGCACAACAGAGAGGUCAGCACGCUGGUCUAAAUCCUAUGCGCGCAGGGGUCUAGGCCCAUCGCCCAUUGCACACCUGCAUGUUGCAUGGGCGGCCGGUGAGCAGACCUAGCAACCUCCAUUACAAAGGAAGUUGCGUUACGCAGUCCAACCCAGCGCGCGCCGCUUAGUCGCUGACGUCAAGAAGGCUUUGACUAAUACCACGACGUCGAGUGCCCAUAACUGUUCCCGCGUAGUUGGUUAGUGCGUAUAGGCUAGUGGCCAGACUCAGAUCAAAUACCAAGAUCUCCUUAAGCGUGUUAAUUGAUGUAAUCGCGGACGUCAACCAGGGCCAAGCCCACCUCUGACCUAGGUGGUGUCAACCUGCCCUGUCGCUCCGCCACAGAGUAACAGUCGGGGGCCGUCUGGAACCCAGGCCCACCACUACCGGGAUGGAACCACUUGUCCUUUCAGCCCCCACAUUGCAAUCACUUGCGGGUACUCUACGAGCUGACCCGACUUUAGUCACCACAUGUAUCAUAUAAUAUGUAUGUAAGUAUAUGCCUGUGAUCAGCUCCCGAGUGAUCACGGACCGGUAGUAUAGCAUGGCAGACGAACAAGAAUGUAGGGCCACUGAUGAUAAUCUAGCAUCCUAUACUAAGCAUUUAGGAUUGCAGGUAAGGGUAACAACUAUAGCAACAAUGACAGGCUAUGCAGCAGAAUAGGAUUAACCGAAAGCAGUAACAUGCUACACUACUCUAAUGCAAGCAGUAGAGAGAAGGAAUAGGUGAUAUCUGGUGAUCAGGGGGGGCUUGCCUGGUUGCUCUGGCAAGAAGGAAGGGUCGUCAACACCGUAGUCGUACUGGGUAGCAGUGGUGUCGGUCUCGAGGUCUAGCGAGAGAAGAGGGGGAAGAAACAAUAAAUAUAAUGCAAACAUAUGCAUGAUGAUGCAUGACAUGACAACGAGCGGUGUUAGGUGUGCUCUAACGCGGCAUUAGGUGAUACCGGCGAAGGGGGAAGCAUCCGGGAAAGUAUUCCCGGUGUUUCGCGUUUUCGGGCAGAUGAACCAGAGGGAAAAAGUUGCAUGUUUGCUAUGCUAGGGGCACGUGGUGGACAAACCGGCUACAUAUUCGGAUUUGUCUCGUCGUUCUGAGCAACUUUCAUGUGCAAAGUUUUUCCAUCCGAGUUACAGAUUAUUUAUAUUAAUUUUUAAAAUUUUAACCAUUUUUCAAAUUAUUAUUAUUAAAUUAAUUCGAAAAUAGCAUUAUUGCAUCAGCAUGACGCUAGCAUGACAUCAGCAGUCAACAGAGGUGUUGACUGGGUCAAACUGACAUGUGGGGUCCGCAUGUCAUUGUCUAAGGCUAACUAAACAAGUUUAAUUAGUUUAGUUAAUUGAUUAAGUUAAUUAAACACAAUUAAUUCAUAUAUGUAUUUAUUAUUAUUAUUUUAAUUCUUUUUUGAUAUCUUUUUAUUAACAUUCUGGGGGGUGGGGCCCCUUUGUCAUAGGCCCCUGGGGCGGGGCCCAGCUGUCAAAGGUCUCUGAGACCUUAACGGGCGUUGGGUCGCAGAGGGGGACGGGUGCAGGCGCCGGGUCGCCUGGACCCGGGCGUGUAGUCUUGCUGGCGGCCAUGGCGGGGCACGACGCCGGCCAUGAAAGGGAGCAGGCCGCAGCGGAUGCGGCGGCCAGGGCGGUAGCUGGGGCGGCCGGAGGCGGGAGCACGGCGAGAGCGGCGGCAGUGGGUGCGAGGUGAGCGGCCAGGGCGAGCGGCGGGCGAGGCCAGCGCAGGCGGUCGGUGCAGCGCGUGNNNNNNNNNNNNNNNNNNNNNNNNNNNNNNNNNNNNNNNNNNNNNNNNNNNNNNNNNNNNNNNNNNNNNNNNNNNNNNNNNNNNNNNNNNNNNNNNNNNNNNNNNNNNNNNNNNNNNNNNNNNNNNNNNNNNNNNNNNNNNNNNNNNNNNNNNNNNNNNNNNNNNNNNNNNNNNNNNNNNNNNNNNNNNNNNNNNNNNNNNNNNNNNNNNNNNNNNNNNNNNNNNNNNNNNNNNNNNNNNNNNNNNNNNNNNNNNNNNNNNNNNNNNNNNNNNNNNNNNNNNNNNNNNNNNNNNNNNNNNNNNNNUGCGAUGGGGUGGCAGUCCGGCGAGGUGGCUCCGGUGUCGGCGGGGUCUAGCGAGGGGCGCCGGCGUGGUGGCGACGAAAAUCGACGGCGGCGUCGGCGCGGUUCCGUUCCCCUUCCCGAUCCAGAUUUGGAUCGGGGAAGGAGGAGAGGGCGACGUGGGGAGAGGGGAGAAGUGGGAGCGGUCGUGGGUUAGGGUUUGAUAGGGGUGGGGGUUAUGGAGGAGUGAGGGGGCGGCCUGGGCCGGUUUGGGCCGGCCUGGCUAGCAGCUGGGCCGACUGGCCCAGUAGGGGGUUCCUUUUUUUCUGUUUUUGUUUAGUCCUUUUCUUUUUUAUUUAUUUCCUUUUCUGUUUUAAUUCAUUUUAAAGUAUUUAGGCAUUAUUUAAAGGCGUGGUUUCUUCACCAUAAACCUAGGCGUUAAUUGGCACACUCCGAACAUUUUAGUUUUAAUGUUUGAAAUUUUUUGAUGUUUGACAAAAAAUCAAAUUUGAAUUUGAAUUGUUUUGAAUUAACACGAGAUUAGUGAUAGUAACGGAGGUGACGUGGCAUCAUUAGCGGAGGUUCACUGUAGCUUAAUUAUCCGGGUGUCACAAAGACCCCCUUUAUAUAGUGGGAGGAAAGAUCCAACCGUUACCCACUUAUUCAACCCGCGGCAUGAGGUACUACCGCACAUACACACGGUACUACCGCAAGGGAAUGUGGUACUACCGCCAGGCAGCGCCGCACUACCGCUCGUGCGGCAGGGGCUAGACGAGGCCCUGCGUAUAGCAACGAGCGGUAGAACCGCCGGAGCGGUACUACCGCGCGCCCUUGCGGUACUACCGCAAGGCAGGGUUCAAUCUGGGCUGGGAAGGCACGGACUAAUAAAAUUACAUCUGUGGCUACUUCCGCUGAGUUUCGGUCUGUGCGAAAAUCUGGCAUAGUACUACUGCUCACAGGGAGCGGUACUACCGCGUAGGGUGCGGAAGUAAAAAAUUACUUUCUCCCAUACUUCCGCGCAUGCCAGCGUUCUGGGCUAGAGUCCACGGUACCACCGCUCGCUGGGAGCGGUACUACCGCACAACGCGGUACUACCGUGGACAACUGCGGUACUACUGCCACCUUGAGCAGUACUACCGCACGCCACAGAACAAUAGCAGUUGGAGGCCUUCAUCUUCGCAAAGACAAGGGAAAACGAUCGAUGCUCCAAAGAAGCGAAGGAAAGGUGGUGCAAAGGAACAUAUGUGUACGUGUUGAUUCCACCCUAACCUUUCCGAAGCGGACUCCCUCUUAAUAGUACAGCUUUCCUACGACUCAAAUCCACCAAAAAGAAACGUAGAUAAACGGCAUCUUCGAUAGGAUCCGAGGGGCUCCGAAUCAUCUUGUGCCUAGACAUGAGAUAUAUGAAAUGCUCAAUGCACACGAUUAGUCCGCAAAUGCAUUGUCACCAAUCACCAAAACCACAUAGGGAGAAAUAUGCCCUUACAAUCUCCCCCUUUUUGGUGGAUUGAUGACAAUACGGGAUUUGCACAUAGGGAUAUAAAAUGAAUAUAAGCAAACCCAACAUCUAUAAAAUAUAGAUAUGCUCCCCCUACAUGUGUGCACUCUAUAGAAAUGAUUUGGACUGCACGGCACACAUUCUAGGAUAAAUACUCCCCCUAUAUUUUAUAGACAAGGCAAUCCUUGCAACAAUAUAAAUGACACUAAGCAAGGAGGCAAGGUAAAGUAAUGAGCAUGAAGUAAAGGGCACACGAUAACAUAAGCUCACAAUCUACUAAACAUACUAGACAAUAAGUUAAGCUUGAGGGCAUAUGUCUCACACCAUAUGAUAGUCUCCUGGUCUCACACGAACACAACCAAAAACCAAAGCAACGAAGGAUCAACGAAAAGAAAGCAAAGCGACACAAGACAUGAACAAGACUCGCAAAUCCUACACUCUCUCCCCCUUUGGCAUCGAGACACCAAAAAGGAAAAGAGGACACCUACGACACAAGUGGUGGUAGAACUCCAAGGCAUCACCAGUCAUGUUCCUCCUCCUCUGACUCCUCUGCAGCACGGGAUGAAGAGGGAACUCCAGUAUCCUCCUCAGACUCACUCCACCACCAGUGCUGUCUGGUCCAUUGUUCCUCAUCUGUGAUGCUCUCCUCAGAGCCAUCCUGGACCUCAAGGCCAACCUGCCUCAUAAUAGCCUUGUUGCGAUGACGAGCCAUCUUGGCGUUCACAUGAGCCUGGUACUGUCCCUUGGCCUGCGUGCAGAGCAGAGCCUUCAUCUUGGCCUUGAGCUUCUUAGCCCAAGUUGGCUCAGUAGAUGGAGGAGCGUACCCCUCAGAACUGUCCUCAGCCACCUCCUCCUCAAACUCAUCCUCAUCCUCAUCGACAUCCAUCCGUGCAGCUUCGGCCUCAGCCCGGGUCGUGGUAUUGGCCCACUUGCUCUUGAUGCAUAGCUUGAUAGGCUCAUGGCGAACCCAGUUGGGAGCAGAAAACUCUUCACCCGAAAAGAGCUUCUCCCAAGUCUUCGAGAUCAAGAGAAACAGGUAAGGUCCAUAGAUGGGCACCUUACGAUUGAACACAACAAACUGUAGCUCACACAACAUGAUAUGAGAGACAUCAAGUGGUUCCGUCUGUUGGAGACGCGCCUUCUCACAUAUGAGCAUCAUGUCCACAAGAUAGGCAUGCACCUUGUCCUUGUCGCCUAUGCGAGGAAAAAGUGAGUUGUGGAAGAUCCGGUGCAUGAUGUCAAGGAAUGGGUUCAACACCCAAGUCUUCUUGUCAGUGGCUAACUUCUUCUCAACAAGAUAAGGUUGAAGCUUGUUCUUGUUGGCCGACUCGGGGUUGGCAUGUGGGCGGACACCAACGGGCACAUUGAGCCCCUCAUCAUGAACGUGCAACAACUCCAUGAACUCCUUCCACUUCGCAGACAUCCUCUUCCCAUUAGUCAUCCAAGUCAUGGUCCGCUGCUCAUCCGUGUGGAAGUGGACAGAAGCAAAGAACUGAGCCACAAUCUCCGGGUCAAAGUCCAUGUGGAACGUGAGUAACUCCUCAAUGCCAGACUACUCCACCAAGUACAAAGGCUCACCAAAAUAUGCCCGCUUGCUGUCCUUCUUCAUAUGAUGCAUGUCAAUCCACUGCACCGGCACAUAGGUGUUUUGCUUGGCCUUGAUCACAUCUAGGAAGAUGAGAUUCUGCUGCUUGGUCGAAAACAAGUCAUUGCCCCUUGUGACCUCCCUAGGGUUGACGUAGGGGUUGAGCUUCCUACGAAGCAGAAACGCCGCCUGAGGCAUUUCAUCCAUGCCAACAUUUGGCUCCUUGAUCUUUUUCGCUGAGGUCUUGACAUUGCGUUGUGGGGCACUGGAGCCCUCAGGUGCUUCUUGGUUGCGAAGCCGCUUGGAGCUCGUGUCGCAGCUGGGAUUCGAGCGAUGGACUUUGGAUCCACCACCUAUGACACACAACACAAACACACAAGAAGAACGAGAAGGAUCAUUGCAAAGACCAAGGCCAAAACCAAACGUAACAUGUAGAAAUGAGAUUGAGUGGACAAAACAAAGUAAUUUUUAACUCAGCGGUAGUACCGGGCCGGGAUGCGGUUGUAAAAUUUUACAGCCGCUCUAGCCGCGGUAGUACCGUGCCGGGGUGGCACGGUAGUACCGCGCCUGGAGCGGAAGUAAAAUUUUACUUCUGCGCCUCGGGCGGUAGUACCGCUCUAGCAGAGCGGUAGUACCGCACGGGGCGGUUCUCGUAUGAGCGAGCGGUUACCGCUCCAGGAGGAGCGGUAGUACCGCACGGAACCACAUCGCACAAGAACGGCAUCUACGGAUCUAGAAACAUCCACAAAAGUAGAUCGGUACUACCGUUGAUCAAAACUACACUGUUGCAUCACACCAAAUAGCAUAUCUACUACACUAGCACUCUCCUACAAUCUCCUCUUGCAAAGAUUUAGCCGAAAAUCACAAGAGCUACACAUGCAUCUCCCCAAGACCUAGAAGCACAACAACGGGGCAAAAAGAGGGGGACUAGGGGAGAUACCGGGGUCCAUGGCAAGAGGGCGAGGUGGGGAUCGAUCCCACUGGUCGGAAUGUGAGGAGAGAGGCCGGAGACGGAGAUCUGGCGAGGUCCUCUAGCGCCGUUCUUGGGUAGGAGAGAGAGAGACGAAGUGGGGAAAAGAAAUGAAUGGAUAUGGGGGAGUUGGAACUCCCCCUGCCCGCUCUUAACCCCCACGCGCUCGCGACGGCGCGGUAGUACCGCGGGUCAUCGUGGUAGUACCACCCGGGCGGAAGUACCGCACACAGGGCGGUAGUACCGCUCUUCCAGCGGUAGUAAAAAAUUACUGCCGUGGUGGAAGCGGUAGUACCGUGCCUGGGAUGUAGCUGUGCACGCACAAGGCAACCCAUCUCCAGCGGUAGUACCGUGGCUUGCCACAGUAGUACCGUAAACCCAGGAAAGUGCACGUUUCGACAAAAAUAGAAAAGCACGACCUUUGCAAUGCAACCUUCAAGCAACCGGACACGCAAAAGAGCACUUGCACGAGCCAACUCAGACACAAACACGGCUUAAAAGAAGGCAAAAGACAACAAGGACCAAACACAAAACAAAACCUCUCAAAAAGAGAGGGCGGUGGCCGGAGCCACCUAUGUUUGAGUCAAUUGAUAUGGCACCACGAAGAAUUAUCCUUGGGCCCAUGACCAAAAAUCAUAUUUGAAGCACAAGUACCAUAAAAAAUGGCUAUGAAAGAGUUGAUCAAUUUAUGCAUAAUGGGGGGAGGGAGAGUUCAUUGAGAGAACAACACUCCCCCUAUGUCCAUGCCUACACCUAAACAAGACAUCAAGAUGAGUAUGGUGGGGUGUGCAAGGGUUCAAGCCACAUUGCUUGAAUCAACGAUAUUUAGCUCAUGCUUUAACUCGCGAAAUCUUGCUUCAUCCAAGGGUUUCGUGAAGAUAUCUGCAAGGUUAUCAUGAGUGUUGACAUAGUUGAGCUCGAUCUCCCCUCGCCUAAUGUGAUCUCGGAUGAAGUGAUUGAUGGGGAACGUAGUAAUUCAAAAAUUUCCUACGAUCACGCAAGAUCUGUCUAGGAGAAGCAUAGCAACGGGCGGGGAGAGUGUGUCCAUGUACCCUCGUAGACUGAAAGCGGAAUCGUUAAGUAACGCAGUUGAAGUAGUCGAACGUCUUCGCGAUCCAACCGAUCAAGCACCGAACGCAUGGCACCUCCGUGAUCUGCACACGUACAGCUCGAUGAUGUCCCUCGAACUCUUGAUCUAGUUGAGGCCGAGGUAGAGUUUCGUCAGCAUGACAGCGUGGUGACGGUGAUGAUGAAGUUACCGGCGCAGGGCUUUGCCUAAGCACUACGACAAUAUGACCGAGCUAUGUUUCUAUGGAGGGGGCCACCGCACACGGCUAAAAGAAUUGUCAACUUGUGUGUCCUAGGGUGCCCCCUGCCCUCGUAUAUAUAGGAGCAAGGGGGAGGCUGGCUGGCCCUAUAGGGCGCGCCCAAGGGGGGCAAUCCUACUCCUAGUGGGAGUUGGAUUCCCCCCUUUCCUAGUCCUACUAGGAGAAGAAGGAAGGAGAGGGGAAGGAGAAGGAAGGAGGGGGCGCCGCCCCUCCCCCUAGUCCAAUUCGGACUAGGCCCAUGUGGGGGGGGGGGCAGCCCUUGGCUGCUCCCUCUCUCUCCCUUAAGGCCUGAUAAGGCCCAUAACUUCCCCGGUGGUUCCGAUAACCCUUCCGGCACUCCGAUAUUUAUCCGGUAACCCUCGAAACUAUUUUGGUGUCCGAAUAUAGUCAUCCAAUAUAUCAAUCUUUAUUUCUCAACCAUUUCGAGACUCCUCGUCAUGUUCGUGAUCUCAUCCGGGACUCCAAACUACCUUCGGUACACCAAAGCAUAUAAACUCAUAAUACCGAUCGUCAUUGAACGUUAAGCGUGCGGAUCCUACGGGUUCGAAAACUAUGUAGACAUGACAGAGACACAUCUCUGGUCAAUAACAAAUAGCGGAACCUGGAUGCUCAUAUUGGCUUCGACAUAUUCUACAAAGAUCUUUAUCAGUCAAACCGCAUAACAGCAUACGUUGUUCCCUUUGUCAUCGGUAUGUUACUUGCCCGAGAUUCGAUCGUCGGUAUCAACGUACCUAGUUCAAUCUCGUUACCGGCAAGUCUCUUUACUCGUUCUGUAAUGCAUCAUGCCAUAACUAAGUCAUUAGUCACAUUGCUUUCAAGGCUUAUAGUGAUGGUCAUUACCGAGAGGGCCUAGAGAUACCUCUCCGAUACACGGAGUGACAAAUCCUAAUCUCGAUCUAUGCCAACCCAACAAACACCUUCGGAGACACCUGUAGAGCAUCUUUAUAAUCACCCAGUUACAUUGUGACGUUUGAUAGCACACAAGGUGUUCCUCCGGUAUUCGGGAGUUGCAUAAUCUCAUAGUCAGAGGAACAUGUAUAAGUCAUGAAGAAAGCAAUAGCAAUAAAACUUAACGAUCAUGAUGCUAAGCUAACGGAUGGGUCUUGUCCGUCACAUCAUUCUCUAAUGAUGUGAUCUCAUUCAUUAAAUGACAACACAUGUCUAUGGCUAGGAAACAUAACCAUCUUUGAUAAACAAGCUAGUCAAGUAGAGGCAUACUGGGGACACUCUGUCUUGUCUAUGUAUUCACACAUGUACUAAGUUUCCGAUUAAUACAAUUCUAGCAUGAAUAAUAAACAUUUAUCAUGAUAUAAGGAAAUAUAAAUAACAACUUUAUAUUGCCUCUAGGGCAUAUUUCCUUCAGUCUCCCACUUGCACUAGAGUCAAUUAUCUAGUUCACAUCGCCAUGUGAUUUAACACCAAUAGUUCAAAUCUUUAUGUGAUUAACACCCAUAGUUCACAUCGCCAUGUGACCAACACUCAAAGGGUUUACUAGAGUGAAUAAUCUAGUUCACAUCGCUAUGUGAUUAACACCCAAAGAGUACUUAGGUGUGAUCAUGUUUUGUUUGUGAGAGAAGUUUAGUCUACGGGUCUGCCACAUUCAGAUCUGUAUGUAUUUUGCAUAAUUUCUAUGUCUACAAUGCUCUGCACGAAGCUACUCUAGCUAAUCACUCCCACUUUCAAUAUGUAUCUAGAUCGAGACUUAGAGUCAUCUAGAUCGGUGUCAAAGCUUGCAUCGAUGUAACUCUUUACGACGAACUAUUUGUCACCUCCAUAACCGAGAAACAUUUCCUUAUUCCACUAAGGAUAAUUUUGACCGAUGUUCAGUUCUCCACUCCUCGAUCACUAUUGUACCCUCUUGGCAAACUCAUGGUGAGGUACACAAUAGGUUUGGUACACAACAUAGCAUACUUUAUAGAACCUAUGACUGAGGUAUAGGGAAUGACUUUUCAUUCUCUUUCUAUUUUCUGUCGUGGUCGGGUUUUUGAGUCUUUGCUCAACUUCACACCUUGUAACACAGGCAAGAACUCCUUCUUUGACUGUUCCAUUUUGAACUACUUAAAAACCUUGUGAAGGUAUGUACUCAUUAAAAUUUUUAUCAAACGUCUUGAUCUAUCUCUAUAGAUCUUGAUGCUCAAUAUGUAAGCAACUUCACUGAGGUCUUUCUUUGAAAAACUCCUUUCAAAAACUCCUUUAUGCUUUCCAGAAAAUUCUACAUUAUUUCUGAUCAACAAUAUGUCAUUCACAUAUACUUAUCAGAAAUGAUGUAGUGCUCCCACUCACAUUUUUGUAAAUACAGACUUUACCGCAAGUCUGUAUAAAACUAUAUAUGCUUUGAUCAACUCAUCAAAGCGUAUAUUCCAACUCCAAGAUGCUUGCACCAGUCCAUAGAUGGAUCGUUGGAGCUUGCACACUUUGUUAGCACCUUUAGGAUUGACAAAACCUUCUUGUUGUAUCAUAUACAACUCUUCUUUAAGAAAUCCAUUAAGGAAUGCAUUUUUGACAUCCAUUUGCUAGAUUUCAUAAAAUGUGGCAAUUGCUAACAUGAUUCGGACAGACUUAAGCAUCGCUACGAGUGAGAAAAUCUCACCGUAGUCAACACCUUGAACUUGUCGAAAACUUUUUGCGACAAUUCGAGCUUUGUAGAUAGUAACACUACUAUAAGCGUCCGUCUUCCUCUUGAAGAUCCAUUUAUUCUCAAUGGCUAGCCGAUCAUCGGGCAAGUCAAUCAAAAUCCAUACUUUGUUCUCAUACAUGGAUCCCAUCUCAGAUUUCAUGGCCUCAAGCCAUUUCACGGAAUCUGGGCUCAUCAUCGCUUCCUCGUAGUCCGUAGGUUUGUCAUGGUCAAGUAACAAGACCUCCAGAACAGGAUUACCGUACCACUCUGGUGUGGAUCUUACUCUGGUUGACCUACGAGGUUCGGUAGUAACUUGAUCAGAAGUUUUCAUGAUCAUCAUCGUUAGCUUCCUCACUAAUUGGUGUAGGAAUCACUGGAACUGAUUUCUGUGAUGAACUACUUUCCAAUAAGGGAGCAGGUACAAUUACCUCAUCAAGUUCUACUUUCCUCCCACUCACUUCUUUCGAGAGAAACUCCUUCUCUAGAAAGGAUCCACUCUUAGCAAUAAAGAUCUUGCCUUCGGAUCUGUGAUAGAAGGUGUACCCAACAGUUUAUUUUGGGUAUCCUAUGAAGAUAUACUUCUCUGAUUUGGGUUUGAGCUUAUCAGGUUGAAACAUUUUCACAUAAGCAUCGCAACCCCAAAUUUUAAGAAACGACAACUUAGGUUUCUUGCUAAACCACAGUUCAUACAGUGUCGUCUCAACGGAUUUUUAGACGGUGCCCUUUUUAACGUGAAUGCAACUGUCUCUAAUGCAUAACCCCAAAACGAUAGUGGUAAUUCAGUAAGAGACAUCAUAGAUUGCACCAUAUCUAAUAAAGUACGGUUAUGAUGUUCGGACACACCAUUACGCUGUGGUGUUCCAGGUGGCGUGAGUUGUGAAACUAUUUCACAUUGUUUCAAAUGAAGACCAAACUCGUAACUCCAAUAUUCGUCUCCGCGAUCAGAUUGUAGAAACUUUAUUUUCUUGUUACGAUGAUUUUCCACUUCACUCUGAAAUUCUUUGAACUUUUCAAAUGUUUCAGACUUAUGUUUCAUCAAGUAGAUAUAACCAUAUCUGCUCAAAUCAUCUGUGAAGGUCAGAAAAAUAACGAUACCCGCCGCGAGCCUCAACACUCAUCGGAUCGCAUACAUCAGUAUGUAAUAUUUCCAAUAAGUCAGUUUCUCGCUCUAUUGUUCCGGAGAACGGAGUUUUAGUCAUCUUACCCAUGAGGAAUGGUUCGCAAGCAUCAAGUGAUUCAUAAUCAAGUGAUUCGAAAAGCCCAUCAGCAUGAAGUUUCUUCAUGCGCUUUACACCAAUAUGACCUAAACGGUAGUGCCACAAAUAUGUUGCACUAUCAUUAUCAACUUUGCAUCUUUUGGCAUCAAUAUUAUGAAUAUGUGUAUUAGUACGAUCGAGAUUCAAUAAACCAUUCACCCUGGGUGUAUGACCACAUAAGGUUUUAUUCAUGUAAACAGAAUAACACUUAUUCUUUGACUUAAAUGAAUAACCGUAUUGCAAUAAACAUGAUCCCAUCAUAUUAUGCUCAACGCAAACCAAAUAACAUUUAUUUUAGGUUCAACACUAAUCCCGAAGGUAAAGGGAGUGUGCGAUGGUGAUCUUAUCAACCUUGGAAUCACUUCCAACACACAUCGUCACCUUGCCCUCAACUAGUCUUUGUUCAUUUUGUAACUCCUGUUUUGAGUUGCUAAUCAUAGAAACUGAACCAGUAUCAAAUACCCAAGGCCUACUAUGAACACUAGUAAAGUAGACAUCAAUAACAUGUAUAUCAUAUAUGCUUUUGUUCACUUUGCCAUCCUUCUUAUCCGCCAAAUAUUUGGGGCAGUUCCGCUUCCAGUGACCAUUCCCUUCACAGUAGAAGCACUCAGUUUCUGGCUUAGGUCUAGCUUUGGGCUUCUUCAUGGGAGUGGCAACUUGCUUGCCAUUCUUUCUUGAAGUUCCCUUUCUUUUCCUUUGACCCUUUUUCUUGAAACUAGUGGUCUUGUUAACCAUCAACACUUGAUGCUCUUUCUUGACUUCUACCUUCGCCGAUUUUAGCAUCGCGAAGAGCUCGGGAAUCGUUUUCAUCACCCCUUGCACAUUAUAGUUCAUCACGAAGUUCCAAUAACUUGGUGAUUGUGACUAGAGAACUCUGUCAAUCACUAUUUUAUCUGGAAGAUUAACUCCCACUUGAUUAAAGCGAUUGUAGUACUCAGACAAUCCGAGCAUAUGCUCACUGGUUGAGCUAUUCUCCUCCAUCUUGUAGGCAGAGUACUUGUCAUAGGUCUCAUACCUCUCGACUCGGGCAUGAGUCUGAAAUACCAAUUUCAGCUCUUGGAACAUCUUAUAUGCUCCGUGGCGUUCAAAACUUUUUUGAAGUCCCGGUUCCAAGCCGUAAAGCAUGGCGCACUAAACUAUCAAGUAGUUAUCAUACCGAGCUUGCCAAACGUUCAUAACGUCUGCAUCUGCUCCUGCAAUAGGUCUGUCACCUAGCGGUGCAUCAAGGACAUAAUUCUUGUGUGCAGCAAUGAGGAUAAUCCUCAGAUCACGGACCUAGUCCGCAUCAUUGCUACUAUCAUAUUUCAACAUAGUUUUUCUCUAGGAACAUAUCAAAAAUAAACGGGGAGCUACAUCACGAGCUAUUGAGUGAUACGUCUCCAACGUAUCUAUAAUUUUUUAUUGUUCCAUGCUAUUAUAUAUUCUGUUUUGGAUGUUUAAUGGGCUUUAUUAUACACUUUUAUAUUAUUUUUGGGACUAACCUAUUAACCGGAGGCCCAGCCCAAAUUGCUGUUUUUUUUGCCUAUUUCAGUGUUUCGCAGAAAAGGAAUAUCAAACAGAGUCCAAACGGAAUGAAACCUUCGGGAACGUGAUUUUUGGAACAAACGUGAUCCAGAGGACUUGGAGUGGACGUCAAGAAACGAACGAGGAGGCCACGAGGCAGGGGGCACGCCUACCCCCUGGGCGCGCCCUCCACCCUCGUGGGCCCCUCGUAGCUCCACCGACCUACUUCUUCCUCCUUUAUAUACCUACGUACCCCCAAACCAUCAGAAGACGAGCCAAAAACCUAAUUCCACCGCCGCAACCUUCUGUACCCGUGAGAUCCCAUCUUGGGGCCUUUUUCGGUGCUCCGUCGGAGGGGGCAUUGAUCACGGAGGGCUUCUAUAUCAACACCAUAGCCUCUCCGAUGAUGUGUGAGUAGUUUACCACAGACCUUCGGGUCCAUAUUUAUUAGCUAGAUGGCUUCUUCUCUCUCUCUUUGGAUCUCAAUACAAAGUUCUCCUCGAUUCUCUUGGAGAUCUAUUUGAUGUAACUCUUCUUUUGCGGUGUGUUUGUCGGGAUCCGAUGAAUUGUGGGUUUAUGAUCAAGAUUAUCUAUGAACAAUAUUUGAAUCUCCUCUGAAUUCUUUUAUGUAUGAUUGGUUAUCUUUGCAAGUCUCUUCGAAUUAUCAGUUUGGUUUGGUUUACUAGAUUGAUCUUUCUUGCAAUGGGAGAAGUGCUUAGCUUUGGGUUCAAUCUUGCGGUGCUCGAUCCUAGUGACAGUAGGGGAAACGACACGUAUUGUAUUGUUGCCAUCGAGGAUAAAAAGAUGGGGUUUAUAUCAUAUUGCAUGAGUUUAUCCCUCUACAUCAUGUCAUCUUGCCUAAAGUGUUACUCUGUUCUUAUGAACUUAAUACUCUAGAUGCAUGCUGGAUAGCGGUCGAUGUGUGGAGUAAUAGCAGUAGAUGCAGGCAGGAGUCGGUCUACUUGUCACGGACGUGAUGCCUAUAUACAUGAUCAUACCUAGAUAUUCUCAUAACUAUGCUCAAUUCUAUCAAUUGCUCGACAGUAAUUCGUUUACCCACCGUAAUACUUAUGCUAUCUUGAGAGAAGCCACUAGUGAAACCUAUGGCCCCCGGGUCUAUUUUCCAUCAUAUUAAUCUUCCAUCAACAAGCUAUUUCUAUCUUUGUUUAUUUUGCAAUCUUUACUUUUACUCUUUAUUAUAAAAAUACCAAAAAUAUUAUCUUAUCAUCUCUAUCAGAUCUCACUCUCGUAAGUGACCGUGAAGGGAUUGACAACCCCUUUAUAGCGUUGGUUGCGAGGUUCUUAUUUGUUUGUGUAGGUGCGUGGGACUCGAGCGUGGUCUCCUACUGGAUUGAUACCUUGGUUCUCAAAAACUAAGGGAAAUACUUACACUACUUUAUUGCAUCACCCUUUCCUCUUCAAGGGAAAACCAACGCAGUGCUCAAGAGGUAGCAAGAAGGAUUUCUGGCGCCGUUGCUGGGGAGUCUACGUAAAAGUCAAGACAUACCAAGUACCCAUCACAAACUCUUAUCCCUCGCAUUACAUUAUUUGCCAUUUUCCUCUCGUUAUCCUCUCCCCCACUUCACCCUUGCCGUUUUAUUUGCCCUCUUUUUCCGCUCGCCUUUCCUUUGCCAUGGCCGAAUCAAAAGGGGCUAGGGGUUCUUUCCUAGGUUUCAAUGCCUUGGAUAGCCCUUCCGUCCUCUCUAAGCUCAUAAAAAAUGAUGCUAUGGAAAACUUACCGGGGUUGUCAAUAAGAAUCUGAAUAAUUUCGAUGAAGAUGAUCCCGGAAUAUUUCGUUAUUUACUUGAUGAGUCUUUGAAAGAUGCUUGGGAUAGGUUACUGAGAAUUCGGGCUAGCUUUGUGCCCCUAUAUCAAAUUGAAAUAUAUUUAAAAAGCUUUUAUGUUGCCUUACCUUCGUCGUUUAAGCAUGUCCUAGACUCUAUUUAUGAAGAAGGUUUUCUUGAAGGGGAUACCGUAGAUACCUAUGAAAAUAUGAAAACCAUAUUUGGGCACCCCAUGAAUGAGAAGGUCGAAUCUACCUCUCUUUUGCUUUCCUAUCAAAACGAAACUAUCAAAGAGAUGAAGGCUAGCUUAGAUGCAAAUUUCCGUAAUGUGCUUAAUCUUUCCUCUACCAUUAAUAGCCAUGUGCUUUAUCAAAACAAAAAGAUUAAUUCCAUAGAUAACAAGUUUGCUCUUUUCUUUCCUAAAAAUAAAAAUGACAAUACCUAGAUCUAUCCUCGCUUUUAUGCCUAGCUAGGGGCGUUAAACGAUAGCGCUUGUUGGGAGGCAACCCAAUUUUAUUUUAGUUUUUUUGCUUUUUGGUUCUGUUUAGUAAUAAAUAAUCCAUCUAGCUUCUGUUUAGAUGUGGUUUUGUGUUUUAAUUAGUGUUUGUGCCAAGUAGAACCUUUGGGAAGACUUGGGGAAAGUCUUUGCGAUCUUGCUGUAAAAAACAGAAACUUUAGCGCUCACGAGAUUAGCUUCAACUUUUUACUGGAGAGUGAUAUUUAGUUGAUUAUUUUUGCAGAUGAUUAAUAGAUAAAUUCCUCACGUCCAGCGAUUUAUUUUAGAAUUUUUGGAGUUCCAGAAGUUUGCGUUAGUUACAGAUUACUACAGACUGUUCUGUUUUUGACAGAUUCUGUUUUUUCGUGUGUUGUUUGCUUAUUUUGAUGAAUCUAUGGCUAGUAAAAUAGUUUAUAAACCAUAGAUAAGUUGGAAUACAGUAGGUUUAACACCAAUAUAAAUAAAGAAUGAGUUCAUUACAGUACCUUGAAGUGGUGUUUUGUUUUCUUUCUCUAACGGAGCUCACGAGAUUUUCUGUUAAGUUUUGUGUUGUGAAGUUUUCAAGUUUUGGGUGAAGAUUUGACGGAUUAUGGGACAAAGAGUGGCAAGAGACUAAUCUUGGGGAUGCCCAAGACACCCCAAGGUAAAUUCAAGGACACCAAAAAGCCAAAGCUUGGGGAUUCCCCGGAAGGCAUCCCCUCUUUUGUCUUCGUCCAUCGAUAACUUUACUUGGAGCUAUAUUUUUAUUCACCACAUAAUAUGUGUUUUGCUUGGAGCGUCUUGUAUAAUUUGAGUCUUUGUUUUUAGUUUACCACAAUCAUCCUUGCUGUACACACCUUUUGAGAGAGACACACAUGAUUCGGAAUUUAUUAGAAUACUCUAUGUGCUUCACUUAUAUCUUUUGAGCUAUAUAGUUUUUGCUCUAGUGCUUCACUUAUUUCUUUUAGAGCACGGCGGUGGUUUGUUUUAUAGAAACUAUUGUUCUCUCAUGCUUCACAUAUAUUAUUUUGAGAGUUCUACAAAACAGCAUGGUAAUUUGCUUUAAUUGUGAAAGUAGUCCUAAUAUGAUAGGCAUACAAGAUUGGUAAAAACUUUCUUAUAAGUGCGUUGAAUACUAAGAGAAGUUUGAUGCUUGAUAAUUGUUUUGAGAUAUGAAGAUGAUGAUAUUAGAGUCAUGCUAGUUGAGUAGUUAUAAAUUUGAGAAAUACUUGUGUUAAAGUUUGUGAUUCCCAUAGCAUGCACGUAUGGUGAACCGUUAUGUGAUGAAGUCGGAGCAUGAUUUAUUUAUUGAUUGUCUUCCUUAUGAGUGGCGGUCGGGGACGAGCGAUGGUAUUUUCCUACCAAUCUAUCCCCCUAGGAGCAUGCGCGUAAUACUUUGUUUUGAUAACUAAUAUAUUUUUGCAACAAGUAUAUGAGUUCUUUAUGAUUAAUGUUGAGUCCAUGGAUUAUAUGCACUCUUAUCCUUCCACCAUUGCUAGCCUCUCUAUUACCGUGCACUUUCCGCCGGUAUCAUACACCCACCAUAUACCUUCCUCAAAACAGCCACCAUACCUACCUAUCAUGGCAUUUCCAUAGGCAUUCCGAGAUAUAUUGCCAUGCAACUUACCACUGUUCCGUUUACUAUGACACGCUCCAUCAUUGUCAUAUUGCUUCGCAUGAUCAUGUAGUUGACAUCGUAUUUGUGGCAAAGCCACCGUUCAUUAUCUUCAUACAUUUCACUCUUGAUUCAUUGCAUAUCCCGGUACUCCGCCGGAGGCAUUCAUAUAGAGUCAUAUUUUGUUCUAAGUAUUGAGUUGUAAUACUUGAGUUGUAAGUAAAUAAAAGUGUGAUGGUCAUCAUUAUUAGAGCGUUGUCCCAAGUGAGGAAAGGAUGAUGGAGACUAUGAUUCCCCCACAAGUCGGGAUGAGACUCCGGACUAAAAAAAAAA
rnacentral:lncRNA from 1 species